rnacentral:rRNA from 1 species
UACACAAAAAUGCACAUACUGUGAGCUCGAUGAGUAGGGCGGGACACGUGGUAUCCUGUCUGAAUAUGGGGGGACCAUCCUCCAAGGCUAAAUACUCCUGACUGACCGAUAGUGAACCAGUACCGUGAGGGAAAGGCGAAAAGAACCCCGGCGAGGGGAGUGAAAAAGAACCUGAAACCGUGUACGUACAAGCAGUGGGAGCCUCUUAAUGGGGUGACUGCGUACCUUUUGUAUAAUGGGUCAGCGACUUAUAUUCUGUAGCAAGGUUAACCGAAUAGGGGAGCCGAAGGGAAACCGAGUCUUAACUGGGCGUUAAGUUGCAGGGUAUAGACCCGAAACCCGGUGAUCUAGCCAUGGGCAGGUUGAAGGUUGGGUAACACUAACUGGAGGACCGAACCGACUAAUGUUGAAAAAUUAGCGGAUGACUUGUGGCUGGGGGUGAAAGGCCAAUCAAACCGGGAGAUAGCUGGUUCUCCCCGAAAGCUAUUUAGGUAGCGCCUCGUGAAUUCAUCUCCGGGGGUAGAGCACUGUUUCGGCAAGGGGGUCAUCCCGACUUACCAACCCGAUGCAAACUGCGAAUACCGGAGAAUGUUAUCACGGGAGACACACGGCGGGUGCUAACGUCCGUCGUGAAGAGGGAAACAACCCAGACCGCCAGCUAAGGUCCCAAAGUCAUGGUUAAGUGGGAAACGAUGUGGGAAGGCCCAGACAGCCAGGAUGUUGGCUUAGAAGCAGCCAUCAUUUAAAGAAAGCGUAAUAGCUCACUGGUCGAGUCGGCCUGCGCGGAAGAUGUAACGGGGCUAAACCAUGCACCGAAGCUGCGGCAGCGACACUAUGUGUUGUUGGGUAGGGGAGCGUUCUGUAAGCCUGUGAAGGUGUACUGUGAGGUAUGCUGGAGGUAUCAGAAGUGCGAAUGCUGACAUAAGUAACGAUAAAGCGGGUGAAAAGCCCGCUCGCCGGAAGACCAAGGGUUCCUGUCCAACGUUAAUCGGGGCAGGGUGAGUCGACCCCUAAGGCGAGGCCGAAAGGCGUAGUCGAUGGGAAACAGGUUAAUAUUCCUGUACUUGGUGUUACUGCGAAGGGGGGACGGAGAAGGCUAUGUUGGCCGGGCGACGGUUGUCCCGGUUUAAGCGUGUAGGCUGGUUUUCCAGGCAAAUCCGGAAAACCAAGGCUGAGGCGUGAUGACGAGGCACUACGGUGCUGAAGCGACAAAUGCCCUGCUUCCAGGAAAAGCCUCUAAGCAUCAGGUAACAUUAAAUCGUACCCCAAACCGACACAGGUGGUCAGGUAGAGAAUACCAAGGCGCUUGAGAGAACUCGGGUGAAGGAACUAGGCAAAAUGGUGCCGUAACUUCGGGAGAAGGCACGCUGAUAUGUAGGUGAAGCGACUUGCUCGUGGAGCUGAAAUCAGUCGAAGAUACCAGCUGGCUGCAACUGUUUAUUAAAAACACAGCACUGUGCAAACACGAAAGUGGACGUAUACGGUGUGACGCCUGCCCGGUGCCGGAAGGUUAAUUGAUGGGGUUAGCGGUAACGCGAAGCUCUUGAUCGAAGCCCCGGUAAACGGCGGCCGUAACUAUAACGGUCCUAAGGUAGCGAAAUUCCUUGUCGGGUAAGUUCCGACCUGCACGAAUGGCGUAAUGAUGGCCAGGCUGUCUCCACCCGAGACUCAGUGAAAUUGAACUCGCUGUGAAGAUGCAGUGUACCCGCGGCAAGACGGAAAGACCCCGUGAACCUUUACUAUAGCUUGACACUGAACAUUGAGCCUUGAUGUGUAGGAUAGGUGGGAGGCUUUGAAGUGUGGACGCCAGUCUGCAUGGAGCCGACCUUGAAAUACCACCCUUUAAUGUUUGAUGUUCUAACGUGGGCCCCUUACCGGGGUUGCGGACAGUGUCUGGUGGGUAGUUUGACUGGGGCGGUCUCCUCCUAAAGAGUAACGGAGGAGCACGAAGGUUGGCUAAUCCUGGUCGGACAUCAGGAGGUUAGUGCAAUGGCAUAAGCCAGCUUGACUGCGAGCGUGACGGCGCGAGCAGGUGCGAAAGCAGGUCAUAGUGAUCCGGUGGUUCUGAAUGGAAGGGCCAUCGCUCAACGGAUAAAAGGUACUCCGGGGAUAACAGGCUGAUACCGCCCAAGAGUUCAUAUCGACGGCGGUGUUUGGCACCUCGAUGUCGGCUCAUCACAUCCUGGGGCUGAAGUAGGUCCCAAGGGUAUGGCUGUUCGCCAUUUAAAGUGGUACGCGAGCUGGGUUUAGAACGUCGUGAGACAGUUCGGUCCCUAUCUGCCGUGGGCGCUGGAGAACUGAGGGGGGCUGCUCCUAGUACGAGAGGACCGGAGUGGACGCAUCACUGGUGUUCGGGUUGUCAUGCCAAUGGCACUGCCCGGUAGCUAAAUGCGGAAGAGAUAAGUGCUGAAAGCAUCUAAGCACGAAACUUGCCCCGAGAUGAGUUCUCCCUGACUCCUUGAGAGUCCUGAAGGAACGUUGAAGACGACGACGUUGAUAGGCCGGGUGUGUAAGCGCAGCGAUGCGUUGAGCUAACCGGUACUAAUGAACCGUGAGGCUUAACCUUACAACGCCGAAG